UAUUAUGUGGCAUAGAGUAGAGUGUGAUAAGGGUGAAUAUGUAGCCGCCUUUCUUUACUCCCAGAAGAAUAAUUUUUUAAUUUAGAUACUCAAAGGAUGAUUGUGGCAGAUGACAAACGAGAAUGGAUAUCCGAUUCGCGAGUUGGAACAAAACAGUCCUUCCCAAAAUUAGUUUCCUAGUUUGGGCAGCAAUUAAUAGAGCAGUUCCAACUCUUUCUAUGUUGUUGAGAAGAGGCAUGGUAGUGGUGAAUGUGUGUCCUUUUUGCGAGAACAGUGAGGUUUCAGUGGAACACCAUUUCCUCCAUUGUCCUUUCGUUUGGCGGAUUUGGGAAAUUUUUUUUACAGCAGUUGGGCUUUGCUUGGGCUCAUCCGACUACCGUUCUCGAGUUCUUAUGAAAGUGGAAAUUGAAGAUAUUUAUCAAGCCUCUUAUUUUUUUAAGAUAUUGCUUGCCGUUUGCUGUUUGGUUGGUUGUGUGGUUGGAAAGGAAUGACAUUUUGAUCACUAAGAAACAAGUGAAAAAGCCUUUAAAUUCUCUUAUUGUAGACAUCAAAGUGUUUCUUCUUAGUUGGUCCAUUAAUGUUGAAUCUUUUAGAAAUGUAAAGUUUGACGAUUUCGUUUUUGAUUGGGCGAGCUUGUUUAGAGAGUAGUUUGUUGUAAACUCUCUGGGUGCUUUGCUAAUCUCUUCUUGUAUCUUUUGAAGGUGCUAUCCU